CUCCACGACACGGGGUGCCCCUGCCUGGGGCUGAGAUCACACCCGGCGAACCUGAUCGAGCUCGUACUCGCGGAGGGAUGUCAUCCAUGGCACAC
rnacentral:ncRNA from 1 species